ensembl:snRNA
GUGUUUAUGAAAGAAGAGAAGGUUAGCACUAAACCCCGACAAGAAUGGAACUGGCCCCUGUGGCUGCAACACAUACACGGUUAGGGCAUUGUCACCUACUUACUGAAUUUUUAU